AGGACGAACGCUGGCGGCGUGCUUAACACAUGCAAGUGGAGCGACGAACCAGGCUUCGGCCUGGGGCAGAGCCGCGAACGGGUGAGUAACACGUGGGUAACCUGCCCUGAUGACUGGGACAACCCGGGGAAACCCGGGCUAAUACCGGAUGUGCUGCUCUCACACCAGUGGGAGUAGGAAAGGAAGCUUCGGCCUCCGCAUCAGGAUGGGCCCGCGGCCCAUUAGCUUGUUGGUGAGGUAACGGCUCACCAAGGCUUCGAUGGGUAGC
rnacentral:rRNA from 1 species